UUCAUAAUGGCGGAAUCUGAAAAUUUCCUAAUGUUGAGGUGAACUUACUUGCUCCAGGAGUAGUUAGUGCAGUUGGUUUCACAGAAGCUAGAAGCGGAUUCAAAGAAAUCAGGAACAUUCAGAGACUGGACAUGCAACUUUCACCAUUUUUAAGAAUUUGAUAUUUGGUUAUGGCAAGAUUACUGGCUGAAGAUGACGAAGGUAACAGGGUGAAAGGUGAAAAUAACACAAGAGUAUUCAAGUGAAUUUAGCCAAG